GCGGGGGUGGCGGAAUGGUAGACGCGGCGGUCUCAAACAUCGUUGCCAGAGAUGGCGUGGGGGUUCGAAUCCCCCUCCCCGCA
rnacentral:tRNA from 1 species